rnacentral:tRNA from 1 species
AGAUGUGUAGUGGAUGGUCCAUAUUUUGAUUGCAGAUCUUAAAUUUGAAGUUCGAUUCUUCCGCAUCUC